UGAAGAGUGUGCCCUUCACAGCCCGAACUGCUAAACGUGGGUCCUGGUUCUUCUGUGAAACGUCAUUGUGUGAAGAGUCCAAUUGUUAAUGUUUGUGCCCUCUACAGUCUACAGCUAAGACAGAUCUUAGAAGUCAACCAUUCCGACGUGCAGACGCGGUGAUACGACAUGGAUGGAAACAUCUCUAAAGAAAAGAGUUGGGCGGGGGAAGAGGAGAGUGGAACUGCGACCAAAUUGACAGUUAUCAAAAAACUGUUCCCUCGAGGAGCAUCUCGGGAUGCACUUUCUUUUGUCGCCCCACAUCGACUCCCUGAAACGGCAGACUUCCUGCACACGUACCUUUGUAAUCCAUUCCAGGCUGGCCCACACAAAUUUGGCGUGGUGUGGAUAGAAAACAUGAGGGAGAGUGCACAUUUCUUUUUUAUUUCUAAAGAGGAAAUAAGUUUUCUUUUAAAACCAAUCCACAAAACCUGCUCACCACUUAAUGGAUAAAAUGAUCCAACUAUGUGUUUGCGAUCCCAACGCUCCAUCAAAGCUGGGAGGAAGCGUGUUUCUCAGUAUGAUAGAAAAGACCAAGAGAAGUGUUGGCUGUCUUAGCCUGUGAAAUUUGAAUGCCUUGUUACAGCAGUAUUACCUGGACACAUUAACUGUGGAGUUCUUUCUGUUCUUGUAGUCUUAAUUAAUUUAAUGUAUUUUUCCAUUAUUCUUCCUAUGUUUUGUACAGUUAAUUUGACCUUCUGUGAUGUUUCCAAAGAAACUUUGGCAUCUGUUUUUGCCAAAGUAAAAUGGCCGCUGAUGUUGGAACAUUAUCUUCCUCUUAUAUUGAUUUCAAACUCAUUUCCAGGUGUUUAGCUCUCCGAAUAUUGCUAAAUUCCUUGAUCUAUUUGGAAAUCCCAAAGAGAAUACUGUCCAGUUAGAUUUGCAGCUUCUUUUAAGGAUGGGAGCAUAUUUUAUCUCCCAGAAUAUUGAAGAAUAUUCAAUGGAACUAACAUUUAGACCUACAAAGUCUGUCUAGAAGCAGAUGAAAGAGCAAAGAUUCCUCCCCUUAUGUCAGACCUCUUCACUACUUUUCAGAUUCAUUGCAUUGAAAGGCAUUGGGUGGAGCAGAUUGGGGGUUUGGAAAUCUGAGUGAGGAGGAUGUGCAAUCCACACAGACUUGACCUAGUUCUUGAGUCAGCAUUUAGUUAGCACGUAAAAGGUUCAUCAUGCACCCAGGCUGGGUUGUAUUCGAUCGAAUUUGAACUCUGACUUGUGAUCUGCACUUGGGCUGUUAUUUUUCCUGAUUGUAUGAAUCAAGAGGGAGACAUCCAGUUAGAAAUUGUUCAUGACUCUGUUCUGAUCUGGGAAUUAUGGACUCGAGUUCUGUUUUUUUUUUCUUCCUUUGCUAACUGGAGCGGUAUCUCCCAUUGGAAGUAAGGGAACUGAAUGCAAACUAGGAGAAUUGACUCUUAUUGUUAGGCUAGCCAAUGAAUUAAGCCCUCUGAUUUUUCAAUUGUUUUAUUUCAUAUGUACACUAUAGUAACAUUUAAACUUAGGCCCAGUAUCCCUAAAUGCUCUGAUACAAUUCUUGGGUCAAACUCUUAGUUCACCAUCUCUGCCAGUGAUUGCUGCAGUUGAUCUCUGCUAGCUGGCUCCUGAAAGGAGCAUCUCACUCACUUGGAUGUCAGUGGGUUCUUGCUGCUUGGGCUCACUGGGGUAGGAGACCAGAGUGUGGCUGGUACCUCGGGGGGAUUGUGGGGAAAUGAAGCCUAAGGUAGAAGAAGAGAAAUUCCCUAAUUGGGUGCAGUUUUCGAAACUAAACUCUGUUCAGUGGGGCUAAUCCCACCAGCUCACACUGGUAUCCAUGAUUACCAGUAAACUCUAAAUACUACCAUAAAACGAUUUUAAAACAAACUCUGUUUUUAGUUUUAUCAGGCAGCACCAGAGUUGUGCUUUACAAUGUAAAGUUGCAGUUCUAGUAUCAUGGAUUUUACAACAAUCUGCUGGAAGCUGAUUUUGGCCUAUUUUAUGAAAUGGGCUACAGUCUUGAACUGAAAUCCCAGAGUCUAAGAUUUAUAUGUUUACGUUGUAAAGCAUUUCAAAUACAAUUAAAUGUUACGGUUGGCUCUGUGGUCAUUUUGCAGAAUAGGUGAGAACAUCUUCCGUUUAAAACAAAAGUUAGCUUUGCAUUCAAUUCAAAUGUGUGCUUUUAAUGCUUAGUUCUUUGUUUGUUUAUAGUUCCCCAUCUUAUAAACCAAUUACAGCACAAAGGAGGCCAGUCUCCCUGCUGCACACAGUAAUAGCUCAUUAACUAGAUUAAUCUGCUGUCAUCCAUUUCUCUCCUGUUUCCACAUACCCUUUCAUUUCUUUUUCCAAACAUUUUCGAUUUCCCCUUAAGAUGGCACAGUCCCCUGCUUCAACAGCUACAUCUGGUGACACAUUACACCUUCUUAUAACUUGGGAUAAAUUUUGUCUUUUUUUUGUCUGUGGCCCCAUUUCAUUUUCCUGAAUCAGCAAUCUGUAGAAAUACAAUCAGUCUUUUGCUAUUAAUCCUAUCAAAAUCUUUCAUAAUUUUAGACGCUUUUGUCAGAUUCCCUUCUUAACUCUGUUUGUUCCAAAUGAGAGGGGAGGGGAUGCGGAAUGUAUCAAGCUGUCCUUCAUUAUUGUAUCUAAUUCUUUGUAUAAUCCAAUGAAUCCUCACUGUUCCCUUCCCAAAGACUCUAACAUUCUUUGUUCCCCAUUAUAAUUUUCCCCACAUCUGACUGUAAGGAUCCUACAUUUUGUCUUGCCUAUCUUUUUCACUUCACAUAUUUAUUGGAAACUUUUAUGGUUAGUUUCUAAGUUCCCUGUAAUUUUACUGUCCUAUCCUAUUCUCAUUGUCUUGAUCAAACCUUUUGUCGUCUUCUGAUGAAUUCUAAAAUGCUUCCAUUCCUCAGGCUUGCUGCUUUUUCUGGCACUUUUAUAUGUCUCUUCCUUGGAUCUAAUACUAACCUUAAUUUCUUGGUAAGCCAUGGUUGAGCCCCCUUUCCUCUUUUACUUUUGUGCCAGAUAAGAAUGAAUAUUGUUGUAAUUCAUGCACACAUUCUAUAAGAAUGAACCAUUGCCUAGCUACUGUCAACCUGUUUAGUAAGGUUCCCCAUUCUUUCCUGGCCAAUUCUUGCCUCAGACCCUCAUAGUUCCCUUUAUUUAGAUUCAGGACCCUCGCUUCAGAUUCAACUACUUCAUUCUUCACCUUAAUGAAGAAUUCUGUCAUGGGUGCUGUUCUCAAAAGAACCCAUCACAACAAAAAAAUCGCCCAUGAUUAUAGUUGCACCCUUAUUACAUGCACCUCUGAUUUCUUGUUUAAUGCCUUCCCUUACUUCUUCUUUCAGCCCCCAACAAUGUUUUAUGCCCCUCGGUGUUUCAUACCUCCAUCCAAACAGGUUCCUCAUCAUGGUUUUCCAAGCAAAUAUCCUUUCUCACUAUUGCUUUGAUUUCCUCCUUCACUAACAAUGCUAUCUCACUUCCUUUCCUUUUUUGUCUGUCCUUUCUAAAUAUGCCUAGAUGUUCAGUUCCCAUUCUUGAUCACCCUGCAGCCACAUCUCUGUAAUCAUAACUAUAUCAUUAACCAUUUAUUUCUAUUUAUGCCAGUAAUUCAUCUACCCUAUUGUGAACGUUCCAUGCGUUAAGAUGCAAUGCCUUUUGACUUGUCUUUUUAACCUUGUUAAUCAGAACAAACAUUUCAUAGCUUCCAGGGUCACUGAGCCCAAAUCUCUUCAGCACCUGCCCCCAUCCUCCCACCCUCUGAGUGAAAAUUACAUGUUUUAGGGCACUUCUUACCAAGGCAGGUCUGGUGAGUUAGAAAAUUCCUUCUUUAUGCUAUCAGCCUCAGGAAUUAAAAUACAGCUCUUUGUGUCUGUGUGUGUGUGUGUGUCUGUCUGUCUGUGUGUACCUCGCUCAUUCUCUGGCUUCUCCCAAGCCCAUUGUGCUGCUAUAUUAUAGUGCUCUGCUCACAUGCCAGAUAGGCCCAAAUCCCAUCCUAAAUUGACACUAUCUUUAAAUUUAGAUCACGUUAUUAGAGACAUAGCCAGGCUGAUCCAACAUGUCCCAUUGAGCAAUGGAAAAAUCAGGACCUUUGGAAAUACUCGAGUGUACACCAUCGAGCCUAAAUCUCUCUCAUUGCUGACUCGCUUCCUGAGGUGGAGGUUGAGCCUGAAGGUGAGGAAUUGAUGUAUUAUCUGCUGGUUCACUGAAAAGUGUCACAAAUCAGGUGUGAGAACAGCUUUAUUUAUUGGACUUUUUUUAAAAAGUAUGUUUUUAAAUGUUGCUGUCCAAAGACUACACAGUUAUUUAAAGCAAGGUGUGUCAUGUUGUUUCGCGCGAAUACAUUAGCCUUCCAUUUUUUCUAAUAAGAUAACCCCAACAGCGAGCUUUUUAUAAUGGCACUUGGUUAGAACUCUGGAUUUGUACUGUCAGUUUAGUUUUCAGUUUAUGCUGCUUCCCCAUAUAUUGAUGAAUUGUUCCAGUGAUGUGAUAUAUUGAAUGACUUUACAUUACUUGUUUAGCCUGUGACAUCAUCUGGAAGACCAUCUGAUAUAAAGGUAGGGGUGGGGGUGGAUGGCAACAUAAUAGUCAAGACUAAGGUAUAGACUCAUUUUUUUCUUAAUACUGAAUUUGAGUAAGUCUACCCAUCAGUAGUCAUUAUUUAAAACGUGAGCUGUGGACCUGGGGAAAAUAGACUUCAAAUAAUCUAUAUAUUCCUGUACAAAUUCACAAGGUCGCCAUUUUAUUUUGUCUUUCUGGUAUGUAUUACAUAUGAAGUAUUUAGUUUGUAUUUUAACCAUUCCAUUCCAAACUCUACAUUCCUGUAGUUAACUGUAUGCUUUUGUAAUUGUAAAAAAAACUGUUAAAUUCAA